rnacentral:rRNA from 1 species
GACGGGGGAUGCAAGCGUUAUCCGGAAUCACUGGGCGUAAAGCGUCUGCAGGCGGUUUCCUAAGUCCACUGUUAAACCUUGAGGCUCAACCUCAAAUCUGCAUUGGAAACUAGGAGACUUGAGUAUAGUAGGGGUAGAGGGAAUUUCCAGUGGAGCGGUGAAAUGCGUAGAUAUUGGAAAGAACACCGAUGGCGAAGGCGCUCUACUGGGCUAUUACUGACACUCAGAGACGAAAGCUAGGGGAGCAAAUGGG